UGUCACGGUGGGAAGUUCCCACCAUCCACAUUUUAAUUUAGCAUUCUUGGAGUUCUGUUCCAGGAUGUGGUGCUGCAGGGAGAACAGCUCCAGACUCCGGCUCUUGGUCCACUCCCGCCUUAGACAUGAACCUUCAAGGGCUCAUGCAUAUUGAGUGAAUUCAUCGUCAUCGCACCUGUCAUCUGCUCCUGCUUAAGCCAGAAAUGAAGGGCACAUAUCAAGACUGUGUCUCAGCAUCUCUGUUUUCCAGAGCAACAGUGCCCUGUCCCUGAUGACCCCAUCUGCCGCGGCUGAUCGCACACUGACCUUGGCUAGUCUCAAAUCCAUUCAGCAGGACCUGCGUGCAUUCUUGUAGACAGAAGCUGGAGGAACAGAUGGAGGACUUGGCCAUGGAACAUGCUUAUUAUCACGGAGAAUGUUCCUCCUCUUCCCGACUUGGUGCCCCAAGCAUGGGGGUGGGUUGAGGCGAGCAGAAGAUCCUAGUGACUCACAAGCUUCCAGGGAAGGAAUCCACAGAUGGCAGCCACUGAGGUCACAUUUUCCCCCCACCACCGCUUGAGCACCGUGUUCUUGACAUUGGUGCAGGGCUGCUGUGUUGCUAAGCACCAGGCAAGGAAGGCGUUGCAGAUUUCAGAUUUCUGGUGAUGCCACAUGCCUAAGUGGCACCAGACAGGCACACCGCGUGCUUUGGUGACAUGACAGAUGGUGAGGAGAGGCGUGACAGAGCGAUCCGUGUGUGUGCAUCUGUGGAAACUUGCCACUGCUCAUGGGUCAGGCCACUGAUUAGAUGGCACAUCCUCUUAUUUAUACAUUAUCUACAAAUGGACAUCCUAGGGUUACUCAUGGUGGGUAAUAAUCACCCACUCUGAAGCUCAGGAGGUAUGGUCCAGCUGAGGCUGUGGCUGGCAUCCAAGAGGAGAAGGGAGCAGCUCUGGGUGGGCCCAGUGGGUGGCCAAGCCCAGGCCUGGCUGUCAGAGCGGAGUAUGACUCUGGGGUGUGCAAGUCAGAGCCACUGAGAUUAGCCUCAGACAAACCAUCCCGAGGUCUCAUCUGUUUUCCACAGUUGCUUCUCUACUCGGCACCAUGUCUGCAUCUCAUGACAACCAUCAUUUCAUCCAUCUGCCCCUUUCCUAUCAAGAAAAUAGAUUGGAUGUGUGUGCUCAGAGGCAAAGUCAGAGUUCUGAAAUGCACCUCAGCAACUGUACCAGAUUUGAUGAAUUUAGCAGCUUUAAGCCAGAAACAAAAGCAAAAAAAAAAGCAAACGCUAUGCUUUUUUACCUUAAUCAAUAAUACUCUUUUAAAUAGAAGGGCUUCAGAAGUUACUAAAUUCACCACAUCCCUGUCAGAAACCUAAUGCAUGCUGCUCAGCUGUAGAAAAUUAAGACAAUGAUGACACCGGUAUAAGCCAUUAUUAGCAAAGACCUUCCUGUGCUACUACUACGGCUACUCUUUUUAACCUAGAGUUCAGUCUACAGGAGCCUAAGGAAAGCUCUUGGUUACCAUCAGGAUCAUCAAAUAACACCGUUAAAAACUAUUUUGUUCUUAUCUAGCCCAACUCCUCCAUUUCUCAGCGUGGAAACAGAGAGGGAGGGAAUAUGUGCUCUUGGACAGCUCAAGACUGGUGUUGGCUCCACGUUGGGUUUGGGUGAACUUGAUGUUGGGUUUUGGGCAGGGCCAAUCAUACUGCUGGCUCCAGGAGGCCCGCAGCAUGGAUGGGGAGUAAGAAAACUAGGAUGGAAAAUAAGGGGAGGAAAGACAAAAGUGGAAGAGGAAAAGAAGGAGGGAGAAAGCCAAGAAAGAGAAACAGGCAUGCAAAUUAGGGGGACAGGAGAAAGGCUAAAAGCUCCUUCACUGCAGGUACCACUGGGGGGCUCCAUGACACACCCUUGUAGCUGCUCUACUGCAAUGACGUUCUGAAGUGGCCAUGGCAACGAACAGAUUUGGAGUGUCCCUGUCAUCAAAAGGCAGCAGAACUCAGGGGUUUCAACUGUGCACUCUGGAGCCAGAAUGCCCAGGCUUGAAUCCCAGCUCUGUCGCUAGCUGUGUGACCUCUGCAAGUGACUUAGCCUCUCUUUCCAUUUUCUAAAAUGAGGAUAAUAGCACACACUGCAUGGGAUGGCUAGGGGAUUCAAUGAGUUAAUAAAUGUGAAGUGCUUAUGAUAGUGCUGGGCACCCCAGAAGGUCUGUGAUCAUCAAGGGAUGGGAAAGACAGUCUAUGUUAUUCUUUAUUAGUUGAUUCUAUUUAUAGUGUUCUUUUUAUUAAAGUAUAGUUGAUUUACA